UACGUAGGUGGCAAGCGUUGUUCGGAUUCAUUGGGCGUAAAGGGUGCGUAGGUGGCGCCGUAAGUCAGGUGUGAAAUUUCGGAGCUUAACUCCGAAACUGCAUUUGAUACUGCGGUGCUUGAGGACUGGAGAGGAGACUGGAAUUUACGGUGUAGCAGUGAAAUGCGUAGAGAUCGUAAGGAAGACCAGUGGCGAAGGCGGGUCUCUGGACAGUUCCUGACACUGAGGCACGAAGGCCAGGGGAGCAAACGGG
rnacentral:rRNA from 1 species